CCUCUCAAAGUCCGGACUGGUCGCCAGCCUCCACCUCUUACAGUUAGGACUACUUGUUUAACUUAACACAACGUUCUUCCAUCGCACAUUCUGACACUCUGACGGGAGGAAACUGGAGUACCUGGAGAAAACCCACACGUGCAAGGGGAGAACAUGCAAACGCCACACAGAGAUGCCCAACGGAAACACGAAGCCAGAUCUUCCAGAUCUCCUGGCUGUGUGGCCAACAUGCAAACCACUAUGUGGACAGGGCCUUAAUCACAAAUAGUUCAGCUACAAAGAUUCUUUAGGAAGAACUCCCCUGUCGAGUGGAAAGAUGACAACCGAGGAUCGAACCAACGGCCCACUGGCAGUGUAGAGAAAGCCCAUGUCCACCCCAACUUUCUCCCAGUGUGCAAACUUCUCUGGAGUGACGUAUUCCUCCACCUAAGCGCACACACACUAUUGUCAGAGUCUGCAACAUUAUGUAUGUCAAAUCUGAUCUGAGGUUACCUUCAGGUGGCGUUUAGUGGGUUGCAUGUACUGUCCCAAUGUGAGACAGUCCACUCCGGCCUCACGUAGUGCUACAACAUCACCACAAUACAUCAAUACUAAGUCACACCAAAGGGGACACCGCACACUGUACAUUGUGAGCUCACAUACUGGUCAGUGUAUUGUGUAUUUGUUGGUCAGUCUCUCCCAGUCCCAGCAUGAUGGACGUCUUGGUGAGCACAGAAGGACGGACCUUUUUAGCGUGCUUCAGGACGCUCAAAGACUGGUCAAAGUUGGCUCGAGGGUCUCGUACAUGCCUGGAAACAACACUAAGAUCAGUGACUACUCACAUGUUCUUCUGGAUGAGUGGAGACAAAUUCCUCUCGCGGACUGUCUCUACGUUGUGGGCGUACACGUCUAGACCUGACAGGGCGAUCUUCUCUACUGCUGCAAGGUCGCCCCGAAAAUCUGGUGUCAGACAUUCAACCAGGAUGAGAGGAUUCCUGUGUGAAGUGUUGUAUGGAGCAGAAUCACGCUUUUGGGACUUGUGCCACAGUGGAAGUUACUUUGGCUGUAAUUCAACUUCCCAUAAAUCUGAAUCAACAGCGCCUCUGCUGGUUGCAGCCAGGUAGUGCACUCAACUCAUUUUGACACUUGGGUAUAAAGACCCUGGGACUUUUUAAUAGCCAAUAAAUACAUGUUUACAGUGAUGAUUAGGGCUGAAGCUAAUUAAAACAUUUACACUUUGAAAGUAGUAAAAAAAAAACAACUAGACUUUUUUAGCAUAUUUUCUGAAGGAACUCAAAGGGUCUGGAAUGUGGUCAAAAAAUAAUGCAUCAAAAUCAAUGAUCUAUGUAAUAAUCUAUUCAGAUAUACAAGGCUCUAAUAACUUAAUUCCAAUCUGCACUUCAUAAUUUAUAGUUUGUGUUUCUUGU